rnacentral:lncRNA from 1 species
AAAAUAAAAAACAAGCGAUGUAAGAACCAUAAAAUAAAAGAUAAACGGUGCAAGAAUCGGAGUGAGUAAUGGUGUAAGAACUGGAAAUAAAAACUACUACAAAAGAACUAGAGUAAGGGACAACGACAUAAGAACUGAAGUCAACAAUGGUGUAAGAACUGGAAAUAAAAACAACGGUGUAAGAACCGAAGUGAGUGACAAUGGUAUAAGAACUGCAGUGAACAAUGGUGUAAGAACCUGAAGUAAAAACAACGAUGUAAGAACCAAAGUGAGUGACAAUGAUAUAAGAACCAAACUGAGUGAAUACGGUAUAAGAACUAAAGGGAAUGCAUGACAACA